rnacentral:rRNA from 1 species
GGGGAGGAACGCGUGAGCAACCUGCCCUGGAGAUGGGGAAAACCGUUGGAAACGACGGCUAAUACCGAAUGUGGCGUUCUGCGGCAUCGCAGGGACGCUGAAGGGGGCGCCGCAAGGGCUCCCGCUCCGGGAUGGGCUCGCGAACCAUCAGCUAGUUGGCGGGGUAGAGGCCCACCAAGGCUUACGGUUAGCUGGUCUGAGAGGAUGACCAGCCCCACUGGGACUGAGAUACUGCCCAGACUCCUACGGGAGGCUGCAGUCGAGGAUCAUUCGCAAUGGACGAAAGUCUGACGAUGCGACGCUGCGUGGAGGAUGAAGGCCUUCGGGUUGUAAACUCCUGUCAUAAGGGAAAAGGCGAUAGAUGUCAAUACCAUCUAAAGUUGAUUGUACUUUAAGAGGAAGGGACGGCUAACUCUGUGCCAGCAGCCGCGGUAAUACAGAGGUCCCUAGCGUUGUUCGGAUUUACUGGGCGUAAAGGGUACGUAGGCGGCGAGGCGUGUCGAGUGUGAAAUCUCCGGGCUCAACCCGGAAAGUGCGCUCGAAACUACCUUGCUGGAGUAUGGGAGAGGGAAGGGGAAUAUAGGGUGUAGCGGUGAAAUGCGUUGAUAUCCUAUAGAACACCGGAGGCGAAGGCGCCUUCCUGGAACAUAACUGACGCUAAGGUACGAAAGUCGGGGGA